AGACUCUUCAUAUUAAAAUUAAGGAAAUUAACAUUAUCUAUAGGAGAAUUGUAGAAAAAUUUAUUUAGUUUUUAGCUCUUGGAGCAUGACUUUCGCUUUAGCUUUUAAUUCAUUGAGUAAGGUUGUCGUCCACUGCAGAGAAUGGCUUUGACCAUGGAUGAAAGGCCUCUACCCAUUACAGUCUUGUGAAAGGAAAGAGAUUUUAGCUUAAGGUGAAAAAAUGUCGUAGAAUUUAAGAGGAAGAAAUUAUUGUCCGUUGAUGGGUUAUUACCUAUGUAGUUAAGGACAUCCUUUGUGGUAUAACAGUUAAAAUAGUAAAUAUAUUAA
rnacentral:misc_RNA from 1 species